rnacentral:rRNA from 1 species
AUGGAAGAGAGUUCAGCUUAGUGGCGAACGGGUGAGUAACACGUGAGCAACCUGCCUUUCAGUGGGGGACAACAUUUGGAAACGAAUGCUAAUACCGCAUAAGACCACAGUGUCGCAUGGCCUUUACGCCAAAGAUUUAUCGCUCUGAGAUGGUCUCGCGUCUGAUUAGGUAGUUGGUGAGGUAACGGCUCACCAAGCCGACGAUCGGUAGCCGGACUGAGAGGUUGAACGGCCACAUUGGGACUGAGACACGGCCCAGACUCC